AACAAAUAUUUGUCUAUUAUCGUAACUUUAUUGUGUGCAUUAAACAGUCAACAACAACAAGUCAUAAAACGAAAGCAGGAACAUGUUGUCUGCUAGCAGUUGUUCGAUAUUUCUUUUAUCCUGCGUAUCAAUUUCGCUGGGAAGUGAUUUGUCAAAUGGUUGGGGUGAACAUAUUGAUUGGCAGAAAUUUGAUGAUGCUUUUAAAAUAGCAGAAGAAGAAAAUAAGCCAGUGAUGUUGCUGAUACACAAAUCAUGGUGCGGGGCGUGUAAAAAUCUGAAACCCAAAUUUGCAGAGUCGGAAGAAAUAGCAACGCUUUCAAAGAAUUUUGUCAUGGUGAAUGUGAUGGAUGAUGAUGAACCAGAAGAUGCCAAGUACAAGCCUGAUGGUGGUUACAUCCCCCGCAUUCUUUUCAUAGAUCAUGGAGAUGUCAUGAAAGACUUGUACAACGAGUCUGGGAACCCAAAAUACAAAUAUUACUAUCACAGUCCUGAUCACAUUAUGAGCAGCAUGGAGAGGGCCUUGAAGCAGCUGGAAGAGGGGUUUUCACAUGUAUCAGAUGAACUGUAGACCAUCUCACAGUCUAGUCAUGCUGCAGUGAAGUUUGUUAUUGCGUAAAGCUCCACUGCUAGAAAUACUAGAAAAUUAAACAAUUCGGAAUCUGGGACAUCAAUUAAUGCACAUGCAUUUUUCCCAAUGCCCUGCUCAUACAGUUUCCAUACAUGUGCACGCUUUUGAUGCCUCUGGGGGAAAUACAAAAGAGGACACUAAUUUUGUGCAGUUGACUAUAGUUUUCAUUUGUGCCAAGAGCUUUUGAACUUAAACAUACUUUUAAGGUAUAUCUUUCAAACAAAACAGUUUCCGGGAAAAAAACAACAUGUUCCUUCCUUAUGACUUUAAUACCAAAUUUUAAUAUUCAAUGAACAAGUUUUGGCAAAGUGGGGGCUUAAAAUCAAUAAUGAAGUGCAACAAUAUGUGUGCAACUAGUAGAACAGCAAAUAUGAUAUUCUAUUUUAUGAUGGGUUAAAUAUUAUUAAAGUAUUUAUUGGCAUUCCAUUGUCUUAAAAGUUUUCAUAUAGAAUUUUUGUUUUUUCUAAGCUAGGUUUCUAUUUAAGACUAUAUUAUACACUUGUUUUUGGAGAAGGGUUUUUUUUUGUUUCAUUUUUUUUUCCAAAUUUCUUAUGUUAAUAACUUUAUAUUUCAACUUUGAAUUUACUCACUAUUUACAAAUACAUGUUAGCUAUUUGGACAAAGGUUAUUCUUGUUUAUGUAAAGCUUUUUCUUCCGUAAAUAUUAUUUAUUGUCAUUUGUUUAUUUUGUAUGAACAAAUUCUACAUAAGCAAUAGAGAUAUGUUAGCUGCAUUUUGCUAAAAUAGGUAUUAUGCAAUAUGUUGCCAGUGUAGCUCCAGACUAGAAUCCUCUGGAUUGUGAGGAGCUUACCUGUCUGCUAUAAAGUUACACAUUGUUUUUGGUCCCAUUCACUGACAUUAUGAGUCACUAUCAGAGUAUAUAGAUACAGAGACAUAGCAGGAGCUACUCUCUUCAGAUAUGUAAGAAUGCCCAUUUUUGCAUGAUGCAUCUCAUAAGACUAUAUUUUGUAUCAGUGGUCAUGACCAAAUUCUGGUGUGUUUGCAAUGAUAACCACAUGGUGUUACCUUAUGAACAACUCUUAUGAUGAAGUUCUUUAAUUCAUACUUUAAGGUGGUGGUGGAAGAUUUUAUAGUAAAAAACCAAACCAAAUUAUGUAAAUUUGUUUGACACAUACCUACUAUUGUACACAGCCAAAAUAACACAACAAACAUGAUGCAGGUAUGACUAAAUAUGAUGUUAUACAAAUAUUGUAAAUAUAUGAAACAAUCUAUCUCUUCCUAUUUUAUAACACUAUAUCUAGCAAGCAAAUUGUAUCAGGUGAAGAAAAGGGUAUUUUGUUGUAUUUAUCCUUUUUAGCUCACCUGUCACAAAGUGACAUGGUGAGCUUAUGUGACUGUGUGAUGUCUGUUGUGCGUGCGUGCGUGCGUCUGUCAACAAUUUGUUUGUGUAGACAGUAGAGGUCACAGUUUUCAUCCAAUCUUUAUGAAAUUUGGUCAGAAUGUUUAUCUUGAUGAGAUCUAGAUUGGGAUUGUAUUUGGGUCAUCUGGGGUCAGAAACUAGGUCACUAGGUCAAAUAAUAGAAAAACCUUGUGUAGACAAUAGAGGUCACAGUUUUCAUCAGAUCUUAAUGUAAUAUGGUCAGAAUGUUUGUCUUGUUAAAAUCUGGGUUGGGAUCGAAUUUGGGUCAUCUAGGGUCAAAAACUAGGUCACAAGGUCAAAGUUUAAAAAAAAACUUGUGUAGACAAUAGAGGUUACAGUUUUCAUCAUGUCUUAAUGAAAUUUGGUCAGAAUGUAUUAAUUGAUCAAAUCUGACUUGGGAUUGUUUAUGGGUCAUCUGAGGUCAUAAAGUAGGUCAUCUGGUCAAAUCAUAGUAAAACUUCUGUCAGGUAAGCGAUUCAGAGCCAUCAUGGCCCUCUUGUUUUAAUUUUGUGUUUGAAUAACAGGUUUUGUUUAUCUGUCAUUCAGUGGGUAAAUGAACAUUAAUUUUGUACCAAAAUUUGAUUUGCACAGCACAGGCUCAGGGACAACACUCUCUGCCUAAUAUGGAUUUUCAUUAAGAAAUGAAAAUUACCAUAAAAGCAAAAAUUUGUUUUGCUGAUUAGCCCGUGCAGACUGAACAGGCUAAUAUAGGAUGACAUUACGCACAUGAAUUAAAGUCCCGUUUCACAGAGUGUGCCUCAUAAUAAAGGAUUUUUAUUUGGUGAACAUGUUGCUUUAAAAAGAUAAUGAUCAUGUUACAUAUUAUGAACUUAUAAAAGCAACCAAUUAUAAACUAAAGGUAUUCUACAUCAGAUAUUAAUGUUAAGCAUUUAUGCACAUGUCUCAUUAAGUUGACCUGCUCACAAAUGUAUCAAUGAAAAUUGUAUAGCGAAAGCUUGACUUUUGUACACCCAAACCCCUGAAUGUUAACACACAUUAUGUUACCAUUUCAUUUCAAAGUUUAUGUUUUGGUUAGAUACAACAAAACGAAACAUAUGUUUGUAAUGAAGCAUUUUAUCUUAUUUGAUUUUGUAGUUACAUAUCGCAAAUAUUCAUCUGCUCAAUAUUUAUGUAGUCUGUUAAAUUGAUACUUAAGGCUGGGUCACAACGGGAAUGCAUAGACCUUAUGUCAAUCUUGCAUUGAGAUUGUUACUAAAACAUGCUUGGGACGUUUCCACCACAGUAUGUCUUUAUCUCCCAGUCUUUAAUUCAACGCCUUUGUAUGUGUACAAAUAAAUAAAUGUUAUGACGUAUUUAUACUAUCUAUUGUUUGUGUAUGUUUUACAAUACCAUUUGUGUCUUUUUAUGGUUGUUAUUUAAAGGUAUAUCAAAACUAAGUGUGGUUAAAUUUAUAGCAUGAAUAUGUAUGCUCAAGUCAACAAUACAAUACACAUAUUUCAUCAUGAUUAACGGAUUAAUCAGUCUCUCUUGUCUUGAUAAAUCAACACAAUUUCAGUACUGAUUCCAUCUAUGCACCACCUCAUGGUACCGGGGAUAUGGGUCUGAUGCAGUGGAAUGGGACCCAAGAAUUUUAGAAGAAAAACAAUAAUAAGAAAAUAGUGGGGUCACUCAAAUUUUCUUGGGUCAGUCUUGGGAGGGGAAAUGUACAAAUUUUGAAUUUGUCAUGUUUUGUGUCUCAAUGAAUGCAUUAAUAUUGAUUCAACUUUAGCCAUAAUAUUGUAGCAUUGUUUAAAAGACAUUAAAUGGAAAAUGUAGAGUAAUUAUUGUGGAACAUCUUCUUAAACAUAUGUUUUAUUUAAUUUCAAUUAUAGAGUCACGAAAUACAUGAAAAUUCACCUGUGUU